UACUUAUCUGUUGGCUUUCAUGUUGGACACUGAUUUUGAUAUACUGUCUUUCUAAUUGCACUGCAUGUGGAAUCACAAGAAUGACGAGCUACACAGAUAAAGGCGAGAAACAUGCACGAGGAAGAUUUGUCCGCUUUCAUCACCUUACCUUCUGGGUGGGAAAUGCCAAACAGGUAAUGAAUAGAGAACAUAGAGUUUUGUCCUUUGGCAGAUAUUACUGCCAAAGGCAGAUAUUACAAUUUCGCUAUGGUGC